GACGAACGCUGGCGGCGUGCUUAACACAUGCAAGUCGAACGGAAAGGCCCUGCUUUUGUGGGGUGCUCGAGUGGCGAACGGGUGAGUAACACGUGAGUAACCUGCCCCUGAAUUUGGGAUAACUUUAGGAAACUGGGGCUCAUAUCGGAUAGGAGCUCCUGCUGCGUGGUGGGGGUUGGUAAGUUUCGGCGGUUGGGGAUGGUCUAGAGGCUUAUCCGCUUGUUGGUGGGGUUGUGGCUUACCAAGGCUUUGAAGGGUAGCCGGCCUGGGAGGGUGGCCGGCCACAUGGGUACUACGAGACGGCCCAGACUCCUACGGGAGGCAGCAGUGGGGAAUAUUGCAGAAUGGGCGGAAGCCAGAGGCAGCAACUCCGCGUGCGGGAUGACGGCCUUCGGGUGGUGAACCGCUUUCGCCGGUGACGAAGCGUGAGUGACGGUAAUGGGUAAAAAAGCACCGGCUAACUACGUG
rnacentral:rRNA from 1 species